GCUCCUUUCCUAAACAAAUGUGGUGGAGAAGAAGAAGAAGAAGAAGAAGCAACAAA
rnacentral:sRNA from 1 species